CGGGGGGAGCAAGCGUUGUUCGGAUUUACUGGGCGUAUAGGGCGCGUAGGCGGCCACCGCAAGUCGACUGUGAAAUCUCCGGGCUUAACCCGGAAAGGUCAGCCGAUACUGCGGGGCUAGAGUGCAGAAGGGGCAACUGGAAUUCUCGGUGUAGCGGUGAAAUGCGUAGAUAUCGAGAGGAACACCUGCGGCGAAGGCGGGUUGCUGGGCUGACACUGACGCUGAGGCGCGAAAGCUAGGGGAGCGAACGGGAUUAGAUACCCCGGUAGUCCUAGCCUUAAACGAUGAAUGCUUGGUGUCUGGGGUUUUAUAGUCCCCGGGUGCCGUCGCUAACGCUUUAAGCAUUCCGCCUGGGGAGUACGGUCGCAAGACUG
rnacentral:rRNA from 1 species